rnacentral:rRNA from 1 species
AAUCAACGCUGGCGGCGUGCCUCAGACAUGCAAGUCGAACGAUUAAAGCUCUCUUCGGAGAGUGCAUAGAGUGGCGCACGGGUGAGUAACACGUAAGUAAUCUACCUUCGAGUGGGGAAUAACAGUCGGAAACGACUGCUAAUACCGCAUAAUGCAGCGGCAUCGCAAGAUGACAGUUGUUAAAGGAGCAAUUCGCUUGAAGAGGAGCUUGCGGCAGAUUAGCUAGUUGGUAAGGUAAUGGCUUACCAAGGCUACGAUCUGUAUCCGGUCUAAGAGGACGGUCGGACACACUGACACUGAAUAACGGGUCAGACUCCUACGGGAGGCAGCAGUCGGGAAUUUUGGGCAAUGGGCGAAAGCCUGACCCAGCAACGCCGCGUGAAGGAUG